rnacentral:lncRNA from 10 species
CCUGGGCAUGCCCAGCUCAUUCUUCCUAUGCUCACCUGUAGUGGUGGCAACACUGCCUCCCACAGUGUCUGGGGUGGGGCACCGCAGUGGCUGUCCCCAUCCUUGGCUGGCAGCAGCAUGGCACCUACCUCUGAGCCAGUGGUGCCUGUGGACAUUGUUCUUAUUUAUCAGAUGAAGCUGGGGUUGGAGAUGGAGUUGUCAUCUUGUGACCUCAAAGCAACCAGCAUGAUAACAAAAGCCAGCACACCACAGACGGCAGAAUGGAAAGGCAGUAAGAAUCUGGGUCCGGUCUCUCACAAGGUUGUUGAGUCACUACACCAGUCCUGGAAUGCUGAUCUCUGGAGAACUUGUUAGACAGUCUUCCCACCACCUUGUUCCGAGGCUCUGGGUGAGUGUUCCAGAAGCUGACGAGAUGCAGGAUCGUCUCCCUCACACACACAAAUGCCAUGGCAACAGCAACUCCGUGACAACAGCAAAGAAAGCCAGACUGGAAUUUGCCAACCCAGAGUGUUGACCAUCUGUGAGGCCAAACCCUCCAAAUGUUGCCCGUUCUAAGUGCUCAUCUCAACCAGGCUUUUGUACAUAGCAGAGGCGACAUUUAAGUGACAUAAGAAUAAACAUUGGGCACAUGUGAAAUCCCUUUAAAGUGUGCAUUUUUCUGCCCCAAUGUGACUGAGAUGAUGACACAAUGAAGAAAAAGGGGGGACUAGGUUUGAGUGAGUGGGCAUGGUAGAUUUCAGUAAUAGGAAAUUUAGACCGUCCAUAGGGGAGGAGCUCUCCAUAGAAAAAACGGCCCAGUUAGUUUAUAUCUAUGCUUCCAUUUUCAAGUCCAACAAUCUUUUAGAAGUUUACCUUCCCCAAGGCAAAACAUUGUGUGUAUAUAUAUAUAUAUUUUUUUUGCUUUUUUUGAGACAGGGUCUUCCCCUGUCACCCAGGCUGGAGUGCAGUGGUGCAAACAUGGCUCACUGCAGCCUCGACCUCCUGGGCUCAAGCCAUCCUCCUGCCUCAGCCUCCCUAGUAGCUGGGACUAUAGGCGUGCACUAUCAUGCCCGGCUAAUUUUUAAUUUUUUGUAGAGACAGGGUUUUGGCAUGUUGCCUGGCCUCAAACUCCUGAGCUCAAGCCAUCCUCCUGCUUUUGUAUCCCAAACUUGUGGGAUUAUAGGCAUGAUCCACUACAUCCGGCCAAAGAUUUGUGAAUAGUUCCAUCAAAGGCCCCAAUAAAUUUAACCCUCUGGGUCUUGAGUUUCCAUGGGUCUCCUUUUGUUCUUAUAAUAACAGUGAUAACAUCUGGUAGGAACUGUGCCAAAUCCUUCAUAUGUAUUUUCUCACUUACUCUUUGUAACAAACUUAGGAGGAGGUACGGCGAUUACUGUUGGCCCUCCAUAUCUGCGGGGAUUUGUGGGUUGGGUUCUACCAACUGUGGAUUGAAAAUAUUUGGGGGAAAAAAAUCCACAAUGAAAAAUAACAAUAAAACAAUAAAA